GAUGAGAACGUAGCAAAAUGCGAUAAGUAAUGUGAAUUGCAGAAUUCAGUGAAUCAUCGAAUCUUUGAACGCACAUUGCGCCCGCCAGUAUUCUGGCGGGCAUGCCUGUUCGAGCGUCAUUUCAACCCUCAAGCACAGCUUGGUGUUGGGACUCGCGUUAAUUCGCGUUCCUCAAAUUGAUUGGCGGUCACGUCGAGCUUCCAUAGCGUAGUAGUAAAACCCUCGUUACUGGUAAUCGUCGCGGCCACGCCGUUAAACCCCAACUUCUGAAUGUUGACCUCGGAUCAGGUAGGAAUACCCGCUGAACUUAAGCAUAUCAAUAAGCGGAGGA
rnacentral:misc_RNA from 1 species